rnacentral:rRNA from 1 species
UACGUAGGGUGCGAGCGUUGUCCGGAAUUAUUGGGCGUAAAGAGCUUGUAGGCGGUUUGUCGCGUCUGCCGUGAAAAUUCGAGGCUCAACCUCGAACUUGCGGUGGGUACGGGCAGACUAGAGUGUGGUAGGGGAGACGUGAAUUCCUGGUGUAGCGGUGAAAUGCGCAGAUAUCAGGAGGAACACCGAUGGCGAAGGCAGGUCUCUGGGCCACUACUGACGCUGAGAAGCGAAAGCAUGGGGAGCGAACAGG